AGAGUUUGAUCCUGGCUCAGGAUGAACGCUGACAGAAUGCUUAACACAUGCAAGUCAAUGGGGAAACGGUGCUUGCACCGUGAUAACCAUGGCGGACGGGUGAGUAACGCGUAAAGAACUUGCCUCUUAGUCUGGGAUAACAGAUGGAAACGACUGAUAAGACUAGAUAUUAUUAAAGUUUCGCAUGAAGCUUUAAUGAAAAGAGAUGCUAAGAGAGAGCUUUGCGUCCUAUUAGUUAGUUGGUGAGGUAACGGCUCACCAAGACGAAGAUAGGUAGCCGGUCUGAGAGGAUGAACGGCCACAAGGGGACUGAGAUACGGCCCUUACUCUUACGGGAGGCAGCAGUGGGGAAUAUUGGACAAUGGAGGAGACUCUGAUCCAGCAAUUCUGUGUGCACGAAGACGGUUUUCGGAUUGUAAAGUGCUUUCAGCAGGGAAGAAGAAAGUGACGGUACCUGCAGAAGAAGCGACGGCUAAAUACGUGCCAGCAGCCGCGGUAAUACGUAUGUCGCAAGCGUUAUCCGGAAUUAUUGGGCAUAAAGGGCAUCUAGGCGGAUAUACAAGUCAGGGGUGAAAACUUAGGGCUCAACUCAAAGCUUGCCUUUGAAACUGUAUAUCUAGAGUGCUGGAGAGGUGGACGGAACUACACGAGUAGAGGUGAAAUUCGUAGAUAUGUGUAGGAAUGCCGAUGAUGAAGAUAGUCCACUGGACAGCAACUGACGCUGAAGUGCGAAAGCUAGGGGAGCAAACAGGAUUAGAUACCCUGGUAGUCCUAGCUGUAAACGAUGAUUACUGGGUGUGGGCAUGAAGAGUGUCUGUGCCGAAGCUAAUGCGAUAAGUAAUCCGCCUGGGGAGUACGACCGCAAGGUUGAAACUCAAAGGAAUUGACGGGGACCCGCACAAGCGGUGGAGCAUGUGGUUUAAUUCGACGCAACGCGAGGAACCUUACCAGCGUUUGACAUCUUAGGAAUGAGAUAGAGAUAUUUCAGUGUCCCUUCGGGGAAACCUAAAGACAGGUGGUGCAUGGCUGUCGUCAGCUCGUGUCGUGAGAUGUUGGGUUAAGUCCCGCAACGAGCGCAACCCCUAUAGUUAGUUACCAUCAUUAAGUUGGGGACUCUAACUAGACUGCCUGCGAAGAGCAGGAGGAAGGUGGGGAUGACGUCAAGUCAUCAUGCCCCUUAUGAUCUGGGCUACACACGUGCUACAAUGGUUGGUACAAAGAGGAGCAAAACGGUGACGUGGAGCAAAACUAAAAAGCCAAUCUAAGUUCGGAUUGAAGUCUGCAACUCGACUUCAUGAAGUUGGAAUCGCUAGUAAUCGCAAAUCAGCAAUGUUGCGGUGAAUACGUUCUCGGGUCUUGUACACACCGCCCGUCACACCACGAGAGUUGUUUGCACCUGAAGUUACUGGUUCAACCGUAAGGAGGAAGGUACCUAAGGUGUGGAUAGUGAUUGGGGUGAAGUCGUAACAAGGUAUCCGUACCGGAAGGUGCGGAUG
rnacentral:rRNA from 1 species